rnacentral:rRNA from 1 species
UACGUAGGGGGCUAGCGUUGUCCGGAAUCAUUGGGCGUAAAGCGCGUGUAGGCGGUUCGGUAAGUCCGCUGUGAAAGUCGGGGGCUCAACCCUCGGAUGCCGGUGGAUACUGUCGGACUAGAGUACGGAAGAGGCGAGUGGAAUUCCUGGUGUAGCGGUGAAAUGCGCAGAUAUCAGGAGGAACACCGAUUGCGAAGGCAGCUCGCUGGGACGUUACUGACGCUGAGACGCGAAAGCGCGGGGAGCAAACAGG